AGCUUUGCACAGUGGCAGUAUCGUAGCCAAUGAGGUUUAUCCGAGGCACGAUUAUUGCUAAUUGUAGCUUAUAAAACCUUUCAGAAGUUUUCUUUGUACACACAAAAGUAUAUAUAUGUCUCUCCUUUAAAAAAAAAAAAGUGGGA
rnacentral:snRNA from 1 species